GUGGCAGGACCACAACCAGCGCAGACUGGCAUGAUCCAGCCAUCUCUGGGCGAGUAUCUCCUUGAGUGCCUCACUCUCAAGCAUGACUAGGCCUCUGCGCCUUCC
rnacentral:pre_miRNA from 14 species